rnacentral:rRNA from 1 species
UACGUAGGCAGCAAGCGUUGUUCGGAGUUACUGGGCGUAAAGAGUGCGUAGGCGGUCCUGUAAGUUUGGUGUGAAAUCUCCCGGCUCAACUGGGAGGGUGCGCCGAAGACUGCAGGGCUUGAGUAUGGGAGAGGUAAGCGGAAUUCCUGGUGUAGCGGUGAAAUGCGUAGAUAUCGGGAAGAACACCCGUGGCGAAGGCGGCUCUCUGGGACGGUACUGACGCUGAGACGCGAAAGCGUGGGGAGCGAACAGG